AGUUAUUUAUCUGUCGAAAGAAUUAUGUUUUCAAAACAUAAUUCUUUCG
rnacentral:tRNA from 1 species